CGAGGCCUGCGAUUGCGGUUCGCGUUGUGUAAGACGAGGGUUGGCGUGUACUCGCCUUGUGGGCGAAACGGACACGUGACGGAAGCAGGAGGCGAAGGCAAAAGGAUCGUGAUUAUAGGGAGAGCGUGUUGGAAGCAUAGCGAGGGUCAACAUCGGCGACGUGCGUUCCCGUCGUCCACGUGCAGCCGUAAUUGCCAGAAAAAAAUUGAAACCCCGUCUUGAAGCUCGAGCGCAAGUUAAUCAGUGGAUGCAAGCGUUACGACAGAGAAAGGAAGAUUCUUUCGCCACUGAUGACAGAACGAACGCAUCUAGAAAAUCCCAUCAACCAUGGUACAGUGUCUUCAGCAAAGAUAUCAUCCGAAA